UGCAUCGGUCCGGAGUCAGCGGGUUACAUAUUAGACUCAGACGCAAGUCAGAGCACACUCCCGUUGACACCAACUUGACCGAUGU
rnacentral:sRNA from 1 species